rnacentral:rRNA from 1 species
CCUACGGGCGUCAGCAGUGAGGAAUAUUGGUCAAUGGGCUUACGCCUGAACCAGCCAAGUCGCGUGCGGGAAGACUGCCCUAUGGGUUGUAAACCUCUUUUGUCAGGGAGCAACGCCGGCUACGUGUAGCCGGACUGAGAGUACCUGAAGAAAAAGCAUCGGCUAACUCCGUGCCAGCAGCCGCGGCAAUACGGAGGAUGCGAGCGUUAUCCGGAUUUCUUGGGUUUAAAGGGUGCGUAGGUGGAAUGCCAAGUCAGCGGUAAAAUCGCGGGGCUCAAGCUCGAUCCGCCGUUGAAACUGGCGUUCUUGAGUGGGCGAGAAGUAUGCGGAAUGCGUGGUGUAGCGGUGAAAGGCAUAGAUAUCACGCAGAACUCCGAUUGCGAAGGCAGCAUACCGGCGCCCAACUGACGCUGAAGCACGAAAGCGUGGGUAUCGAACAGGAUUAGAUACCCCUGUAGUC